UACGUAGGGUGCAAGCGUUGUCCGGAAUUAUUGGGCGUAAAGAGCUCGUAGGCGGUUUGUCGCGUCGGCUGUGAAAACCUGGGGCUCAACCUCGGGCCUGCAGUCGAUACGGGCAAACUAGAAUUCGGUAGGGGAGACUGGAAUUCCUGGUGUAGCGGUGAAAUGCGCAGAUAUCGGGAGGAACACCGGUGGCGAAGGCGGUUCUCUGGGCCUGUACUGACGCUGAGGAGCGAAAGCGUGGGGAGCAAACAGG
rnacentral:rRNA from 1 species